GCUGGCACCAUGUGAUCCAGAAGUCUCUGAUCUGAAGAUGUACUGCUGCUGCUGCUGAUGGAGCUGGGUCGCCCACUGAAAGAGAUCCAUGGUACCUCGGAUGGAAAAAAAAAGAAUUAUUAAAAGCCAACUGUUUCCUGUAAGAAAAGAUAGAGACCACUGUACUGUACUGCGAGGGACUUCCAAGGAAAGAAAGAAACAAUGAGAGGAAAGCAUGGAGCCAUGGAUUCAACCCACACGAAAAGAGAUUCCAGGUAACACUGGGAACAACUUCCUGGUGGUUGUGAAAUACACUACUUCAGAGAGUGAUGGAGUCUCCAUCUUUGGAGAUUCAAGAAAAUGGAGUGGCCUUGAGGCAGCGGCCUCGCCUUUUGGAAGAAACCGAACAGUUGAGCUAGAUGGCUUAGGAGGAAGAAAGAUGCCCUGCAUUUAUAUAAGGCGAAAUAACCACAUGGACACGGGUGAUUGGGCAAGUCUCAAGUUAGGGUGGCUUGACCCACAUGCUUUUUGGAAAAUUGCAGCCAACGGUUCUGUGCUUUCAU